UACGAAGGGUGCAAGCGUUACUCGGAAUUACUGGGCGUAAAGCGUGCGUAGGUGGUUGUUUAAGUCUGUUGUGAAAGCCCUGGGCUCAACCUGGGAACUGCAGUGGAAACUGGACAACUAGAGUGUGGUAGAGGGUAGCGGAAUUCCCGGUGUAGCAGUGAAAUGCGUGGAGAUCGGGAGGAACAUCCAUGGCGAAGGCAGCUACCUGGACCAACACUGACACUGAGGCACGAAAGCGUGGGGAGCAAACAGG
rnacentral:rRNA from 1 species